ensembl:snRNA U6 U6 spliceosomal RNA
GUGCUCACUUCAGCAGCACAUAUACUAAAAUGGGAACAAAACAGAAGGUUAGCAUGGUCCCUGUGUAAGGAUGACACACAAAAUUUAUGAAGUGUUCCAUUUAAAA